rnacentral:rRNA from 1 species
GCCAGCAGCCAUAUCACUCUGCAACUCACACCUUGCAACCCACUGAAGCUCAGCAGGUGUGAGCCUGGUCAGUACCUGGAUGGGAGCCCUCCUGGGAAAAACUAAGGUUGCUGCUGGAA